CACCUGCAGCAUAUGGAGGUUCCCAGGCUAGGGGUCUAUUCGGAGUUGUAGCUGCCAACCUACCCCACAGCCACAGCAACGCCAGAUCUGAGCCGCACCUGUGACCUACACCACAGCUCACAGCAAUGCCGGAUCCUUAACCCACUGAGUGAGGCCAGGGAUCAAACCUGCAACCUCAUAGUUCCUAGUCAGAUUCGUUAACCACUGAGCCAUGAUGGGAACUCCUACUUCUUAAUUCUUAAAUCUCAAAUUCUCUGCAGAAAUUCUUAAAAGAAAACCAACUGCAAAAUUCACAGAACUCUGGGAGUUCCCUGGUGGCACAGGGGUUAAGGAUCUGGCUUUUUUGCUGCUGUGGCUCAAGUUACUAUGGUGGCACAUGUUCGAUCCUGGGAACUUCCAUGUGCCACAGGCACAGCCAAAAAAAAAUUUCACAGAAUUCUAAAGAAUCUCUUAAUGACUUAAUAGUUAGCUUUCUUUUUCAAAAGGAAUCACCCUUAAGCAAUCUUGCAACUCAAAUGAGGCUCAAAAUGGAAAUAUAAAUCCUUUUAUUUCAAAUAUUUAAUGAAUAGUGAAUGUGAAUCUUUUCCUUGAGGAACGAAUAAAAGACUGAACCGAGGUAGAUUUGUCAGCUCUGACUGUGAUUAGAAUUGGCUUCUCCAAAGAACAGCUUAGAAGAGCAAUGAGUAAACAGGAAGUACUUGUAAAUGGAAUUAGAAUAGAAAAAGAUCCACCAUCAUUCCUCUCAGGAAGUCAUAGUCAGUCUAUCAUUGCAGUUAAUGUUGACCUUAUAAAAUCAUAUCACUGAUUUUCUUUAUUACUAAGUUUCCUAAAAUCAAAGAAGGACUUGGAAUGUAAACAAAACUCUUCAAAUCCCUACAUAUAAUUUUGUAGCAGAAGAGGCAUAUCAGAAAAAGGACUGGGAACUAAAGUGACACUAGUGCUGUCUUUGGGUGGCAAAGUUCACGGUGAUUUUCCUCUUUCUCCUUUUUAAUAUUUUCCAGCUUUUAUAUAAUGAGCAUGUAUUUCCUUUCUGCUCAGGGAAAAUUUUUUACUGAAAAAAUAGAGUCGAUAACCAAAGAUGGAAACCCACACAGCUUAAAAGGGAACUUCAGUUUUCACUCUUUGGUGUUGAUUGGGGUUGCGUGCCCACACCAAGCUCUUGCCUUGAGCUUUGAGAAUCAGUGAGGAGGGCACAGGACCCAUGUGGGGCAAAGUGAUCUGGGCUAAUACCCUCUGGUACUCAGGCACUUCUUGUUCCAGACUCCUGGUUCCUUGUUAACAAGACAACCACCAGCUUGACCUGACUCAUGAUUAUGAGUAAUAUUGAAUCCUGGUGAGACAGUCAGAUGAGUUAGCUACAACAAGCACUCAAAUGGCUAACUGGAUCCGUCUGUUGAGGUUAUUUACACAUGAAAAGUACAUCUAACAAAUAAAGAUAUUUCUUACUUACAGUUAAUACUGGUCAUUCCUAUAGGCAAAGUUUUAUCCCCAAAAGUCAACACAAUAAAAUAAUUCCAAAGUAUUUUAGUUUGAUUUUGUGGUGUUGUUAAUUAUACUCUUCACUGCAUGGCCCUCAUUACCAUCAAUGGCCCACACACUGAGGAUUUCUUAGAAUCAAGUUAGUUCUUUGAUUAACACCAGUACUUCGAUCUUUUUUCAUGGCUGUCUGUGUAUUAUGUGGUAGAAGCCUGGUUUCUGAACAGAAUGUUUUUCAAAUUCUUAGAGGUCCAUCUUCAUGUGAAAGUUGGGUGUCCUGUUGGUCUGAAGCAUUCACCUGAAGUUUACUCUUUUUUCCUGUAACAUUUGUUUAUAUGCUACUUCUAGAGGUAGAAAGAGGGUAGGAGAAUCUUUUCCUCAAUGCCUCCAGUAGAAAAGUCCUGGGAGGAGUUCCCUUUGUGGCUCAUUGGUAAUGAACCCAACUAGUAUCCAUGAGGAUGUGGAUUCUAUUCCCUGGCCUUGCUGGGUGGGUUAAGGAUCCAGUGUUGCCGAGAGCUCUGGUAUAGGUUGCAGACAUGGCUUGGAUCCCAUGUUGCUGUGGCUGUGGUAUAGGCCAGCAACUGUAGCUCCAAUUUGAUCCCUAGUCUGGGAAUUUCCAUAUGCUGGAGGAGAGAGGGCUCUCCGACUGGACAGUUCUUGGUCAUAUGGUGGGGGGGGCUGGAGGAGCAAUAAAUGGAAUCAGUGAUUCUGGGUGGAUACAGAGCAUUUUUCUCCAUUUACACUGAUCUCAUGGGUUCUAAGUGAGGCUCUGCUGGAUUGGCAUGCAGUAUGUGAUCAAGAGCUUGAGUUUUCCAGUCAGCCUGGUUUCAAGUCUCAGCAUUCAUUUACAUAUUGCAGGUUUGCGAUUAAUGGUUAACCUCUAUACAUCUCAGAAUUUUCACCUGUAGAAUGGUAAUAAUCAUUCUUACCUCAUAGGUUUUUGAGAGAACUAAAUGACAUAUUAUUAAAGGCACUUAUAUCAGCAUAUCUUGUGUGUAGUAAGUGCUCAGUAAAAGUGAGGGAGGAUGAUGUUUUAUUAUAGAGUGCUUCCAUUGGACAAAGUUUCAUUCCAAACCAGCAAAAAGCUGCUAACUUCUUUGUCCAGCUGUGGGCAAGUGAGUGGAGCUGGUUUUGUCCAGCACACAUUACAUUGCCCCAGGACCCUUAUACAUAAAGACCACCUUGGAACUGUUUUUCUCAGCAGAGACAGGCUAUCUCAACUUUGCAUAUCUCUGUCAUGGAUAGUAAUCAUACUUGUGCCUGCCCAUUAUUUUUUGAGUAGCUUUUUAGUAUUCGAGGAAAUUUCUACAGCAUGUGGCACUUAUCUCCCACAAAGAGUUGAACUUCUAGCCUCUCUUGCAACUGGGAUGCAGGCAUGUGACACAGACGUUACCAUAUGCACUUGCCUG
rnacentral:lncRNA from 1 species